UCAUAAAAAAUACUAAGACAAAACACUUUCUCUUUCCAGUUCACUGAAGAACGCUAAACUAGCUAAAGAGAGAGCUGAAGAACACCUAUGGAACUGAAGAACUGAUCGAGCUGAAGAACUGAUUCCCUUCAACCACACAAAUUUCUCUACUCAAAUAACUAAGGUUCGUCAAGGAAGGAAUUGAUUGGGGGUUGUUGGCAAGAUGAACUGAAGCUAAGUCUCUCCAUCACACUUUUCUUUCAAAUUUCUCGUUGAAGAACUUAAUUUUUGAAAAUUUUAUGGCUGAAUAGCUGAAGAUAUCUUGCUGUAGAAUACGAUAUCCAUAAUAAUUCUUGCUGAAGAGCACGAUUUGUCGGAAUAGGGUUUAACAUCUAAGAAUUCUGUCUUUGAAAGUCUAAAUUUUAGCUUUAAGGUUUUGAUAUUCUUGUGUUUUUUAUACAAUUUUUGGGAGUCUAGAUCAGCUUUUUAGCUUUAUUAGUUGAUUUUUGGGUGCCCUGAGCCUUAAUAACGAAAUAAGUAUAAAUUGGUUAUAAGUUGAUUACGGUUGAAAUUGUCCAUGAUAGUUUCGAUGUUUGAGUUCAUGUUAUCGAAUUUGAACUCUUACGGUGGAUAUGCUUUGAGUUCAAAUAUGUAGCUAAGAAGUACAUUAAAUGAUAGUUUAGAAGUUUGAUUCAUCACUCAGUUGAGGGAACUGGGAACCCCAAGAUGCAUUGUACUUAAACUAGCAGCUUCAUCCUCCACCAGUUGAGUGAUAAAUGAAAAAAAAGGAGUGGGCAACAUUUAGCCACUAGGUAGGAAAAAGGGAUGUGUUGGUGUUUUUGUUCCUGCCCCACGAGUCGAAGUCCCCACCCUUUUCACAGCAACUAGAAGAUUGAUAAAGCUGCACUAUAUCGAAACGAUCAUAUGCCUUGGGACCGUUGUUGACCAGGAGAGUGCCCUUCAAGUCUAGAAGGGGUGGUGAGGGAGUAGUAAUUUGUGAACGUGUUGUGCAAGAGUUUGACAUUAUAGUUAAGAACAAAUAUGCCAUUUCUUCUGUUAUAUUCAAAAUAUUUGUUCUGAGUAUUCAUACUGGAAGACAUCUAAGAGCACGAAUAUAGCCCUUGAAUUGAAUCCUUACCCUUUAGUCUGUGUCAAAUAGUAAAUAUUACAAUUAGUAGUGAACACAAAUAAGUCUACUGAGGAGCUUAAAAUACAUCUUAUUCUUCUGUUAUAUUUGAAGAAUAAACAUGUUGUAAUUUCAAUAUUACAGUUUAGUAAUCCUUUUAUAUUUUUUAUUAUUCUUUUCAUGUUUCUAGAUAUGAUAUGUCAUUGUGAGUGAUAUUAUCCUCUUUGGUCUUAAUCUUUUGAAUUAUUAAUAGAUCAGCUGAGCUACUAGAUCCUGUAAUGUUUCAAAUACUCCAAGAAGUCUAUAAUUUGCAUGUGUUUAAACAUCAGUUUGUGGUGAAGGGACCAUUGGAAUUGACUUGUAAAAUCUUGUUGGUCUUACUUUGUGUUUGUGUUUGAAUGAAGAGGUCGGCAGCUUGACUUUUUGUUUAUAUUUGAUAUUGUAAAUGUGUUUCAGUUUGGCAGCUUGAUGUAAUCACAUUUCUUGUUUCUUGCAUUAAUUGCUAUAAUUUCAGUAGUAGUCUUAUAGUUUGGUAAGUUUAAAUUAGGAAUGGUGUAGAGUCAAUUUUUCUUGAAAGGAUUGUCUUGGAAAAUCUCUUUUUUCUUACAUUUGUGUUUGAAGUGCGAAGGUUGACAGCUUAAUGCAGUUUCAUUUUGUUUCUUGCAUCAACUGCUAUAAUUUUAGUUGUAGUUUUUCUCCUUUUCCCUGUUUGUUAUAGUGAGAACAAGAUUAGAGGGUCCAGGACUCAUAAUUGAUCAAAAGAUAUGGUAUAGUGUUACAACAGUCCGUGGUCAAUAUAUAUGGGCUCAUCCACAAUCACGUUCUUCUUUUAGUAAAUAUUGUUGUCACUGUACAUUUCUCCUCAUCUACGCCUUCAUAAUGGUUUCUCAUACUAUAGUGGUUCACUGUUUUUGUGUUCACUAUCUUUUUACUCUACAGAAACUCAUCAAAUGACUGACGGAACUAUUAGUGGAGGUAGAUUAUAUGCACUUUAACCGUGUUCUGCACGGAGAUGUAAAUGUAUAAACAGGCCCUGAUUUAUUAACGAGCUUUCAUUCUAUGACCCGUUUUAACAUGAAGUGCUUCGAUUUGUUAAUGAGUUUUCCUUGUAUGAAGAUGAUAAUGUGAAUUGAGCCUAGAUGAAGAAGUGGGGGUUCAUAUAGUCGACACUAACUUGUUUAGUGUAGUAGCUGUUGUUGUUUUUUUGUUUGAGUAAGCAUUAGUAAGCUUUGUCUUGUCCCCUCUUAUGUUGCACUGUCACAAAAUUUUAAUCCUGAAGAAACAACUCUAAUUGAAAAUAUCUUCUGUCGUAACUGCUUACCUAUCGUUCAUUUUUCAAUUCAUCUAGGUUACAGUAAAUUUAUCAAACAUAUAUCCCAAAGAUGAAGAUGCUCCUGCUGGUGGAGUUGAUUCAUGACCAAGUUAUCAUAUUUGCAUGAGUCCGGCGUCCUGCAGAAUUUGGCUUUAAGAUAUAAACUCAAUGAAAUCUAUGUACUCCUGUUUCAGCUUCCACUCCCCAUGAUUUACCCUAAAACACUAUCAAAUUGUUACUAAGAUUAUAAGAUGAAUCAGACAUAUGAUAAAUGAAGCUUGCUUAUUUGGGCGGUCCUAGAAGCACUGAAGUUCCAACUGUUGAGAAACAAGCUCAAGAGGAGGUUCAAAAGUAUAAUUUGGGGGAUCCUAAAACAGAUCACUAUCUUAAUCAAUCGAGUUGCUUUGAUCUAGUAGGUGUCAGUAAUGCUCAAAAUUAUCUUGCAACAAGGAGGGCCAUGGAUUUUGUUGGCAUUAGUGAGAAAGAGCGGCAAGUUUUAGAGUAGUGGAUUCCGAUCUUCAUCUUGGUUAUCUUCAGUUUGCAAUGGGUAAAAAAACUGAUUAUCAGUGCUAAAAGAUGACAAGUCUAAGUUCCAUUUUCGGACUCUUGCAGAGCUUUUGAUUUGUUAUAUGAGGCGUGAUCUUAAGGAUUUGGAGGAUGCACAUUAAAACAUGUAAUGGUCACACCUGAAGAAGUAAUAAAGAGAAGUCUUGUUCCUGAUGCUGCAACAGUUAGUGGAGAUGGGCUUGCUAAAAAUUAUAUUCUUGCUUGUUUGACUGUUUAUAGGUUGGUGGACAAAAUAAAUAACUCAAUUGGUCAAGAUUCGAGCUCAAAAUCUCUUAUUGGUGUUCUUGACAUUUGAUGUUUUGAAUGUUCUAAAACUAUUAAGUAUGAGUCAAAUCAUUGGAGGACACACAGGAUAUUGUUGAAUGUGGUGUUUCCACAUUUAACUCUUUUGACUUUUGUGUACCAGUUUUGAACAAUUCUGCAUUAAUUUCACAAAUGAGAAGCUGCACUAACACUUUAACCAGGGAUUUGUAGUUGAAAUUUUAGAUAUUUUCUGUCCAUAUCUUCUAAGCCAAAACUGAACUAGCACGUGUUCAAGAUUGAGCAAAGGAAUAAACUAGAGAAGAGAUCGAUUGGAGCUACAAAAAAAUUUAAUUAUAAUUUACGUUUGAAUGUGCGGGAAAAUGCUGCUGAUUGAAUUUGAUGAAUAGAGGACAGCAAUAAACUCGAUUUCUAGUGAACAAUAAAGAGUUUAUGUACGAUUAUCAUAAAUAUUUUUUGAAUACAUUUGGUUUUUUGGAA